rnacentral:lncRNA from 1 species
AGAGAAGCAAGAAGCUCCCUACGUUGCAUGUGGGUAAAAUCGAGGCAGAGAAGAGCAUGCACAGAGGACAGACAGCUUCUCCCGCAGUUGCCUGGGGAGGACUCCUAGAGGAGUGGUUUCCGAAUGUUUGGAGCAGUAAACUGCCAGUAGCCUUCAAAUUUUCUGUGGACCACAGACUUAUGCAUGGAUCAGAUUCUGCAACUGCAUUCAUGACUGGAACACUCUUAAGAGUCCCUUUGCCUCCAGGACCCACUGCAGUGAAGUAUCGCAGAUAUUUGGCUGGAACCUAGCUGUGAGGUCCAUGGCUGCCUGGCAGGCCUUCAAAAUGAAGAGGGCAAACUGAAGGAGUGUAAUUUUUUCCUUGCUCCUCUUAUCCACUCUGGCUGCUGGGAUUUCUGUGACAGAACCACUGAGGGUUAGUGAGUUUUUCUCUAGUAUAGUGGUCCUGACAAAUACUGAAAGAUGCCACCUGCCUGGCUGUUUGUCUGCAGUGGUGAACCUCGUCCCCUAAACUUGUGGAUGCUUCUCCAACUGUCUAGACCUUUCAUGAUUCAUGGAUGCUCCUGGAGAGUAAAACCCUUCAUCUAAACACAACAGCACUUUGGAGAGAAAGUAUCAAAUCCACAUCUGCAAAAAGUAGCUGGCCUUGUCUUCUUCAGAUGCAACUGAAACACCAAGCAAGUUCAGCUCUGAUUUUAGUCCUCAUGCCUUAGGCUCACUCUUGUUCAGUAAGUCACUUAAAUGUGUACAGUCUUAGAGAAACUAUGUGGGUGUAAGAGUGUCUGCAGCUCCUGGGCACCUGUUGGUUUCAAUGUCAGACCAGAAAAAGUUUAUUAAAAGACAUGACGUAGCCCAUUUAUUUUGGUCGAGAGUUUUUGGCCAUGCAAUCUGAUUUGCCUGUGGGUGACAUAUUAUACUGGACAGUUCCUUAUAUAGCCUCGGUUUUUUAACAUUGUAGAUCACACCCUUAUCUUGUUUGUUUCACAGCCCUCCCCCCAGCUCACCCGCCUGCGCCAGAAUACAGUUGCUUUAUUUUUAGAUAAUUAACCUUUUCUUUUGCCAGCAGUAGGUGAAGUGCAGGGCCUCAUAAUUGACGAACUGUUGUCUCUGACUUCCAUACACUCCGCCGUGGGGACAUUCAAUCAUUAUUAGGGCUGAAACCUCAGCCUGAAUCCAUGACACAGAGUUGCCUUAUUAUUUAUCCUGAGUAGGUACACAGCAGAAAUCAAUGAAGUGAAUGAUUAUUAUUGCCCAGAACUGACUGGAAUUUAGAUGCUGAAUGAUCUACCCAAAUGAAUUUUUAAAAAGAAAGAGAUGCAAAGUGACUGCGUAACAAUAAGUUACACUUGAAAACACAGCUCUCAUUUAGGAGAUGAACAUUUGACUGUAACUGGAUUUUCAGUGCCUAGUUAGCAGAAAAAUGUGAGAGACUUUAUUGACUAGCAAAUUUCUCAGGAAGGUUGUUGGUUAAAGCAGCACCUAAAUAUUUAAAUAAAAGACAGUGCCCGUGCCUUCA